rnacentral:rRNA from 1 species
AGAGUUUGAUCCUGGCUCAGAUUGAUUGCUGGCGGCAGGCCUAACACAUGCAAGUCGAGCGGUAGAGAGGAGCUUGCUCCUCUUGAGAGCGGCGGACGGGUGAGUAAUGCCUAGGAAUCUGCCUGGUAGUGGGGGAUAACGUUCGGAAACGGACGCUAAUACCGCAUACGUCCUACGGGAGAAAGCAGGGGACCUUCGGGCCUUGCGCUAUCAGAUGAGCCUAGGUCGGAUUAGCUAGUUGGUGAGGUAAUGGCUCACCAAGGCGACGAUCCGUAACUGGUCUGAGAGGAUGAUCAGUCACACUGGAACUGAGACACGGUCCAGACUCCUACGGGAGGCAGCAGUGGGGAAUAUUGGACAAUGGGCGAAAGCCUGAUCCAGCCAUGCCGCGUGUGUGAAGAAGGUCUUCGGAUUGUAAAGCACUUUAAGUUGGGAGGAAGGGCAGUAAAUUAAUACUUUGCUGUUUUGACGUUACCGACAGAAUAAGCACCGGCUAACUCUGUGCCAGCAGCCGCGGUAAUACAGAGGGUGCAAGCGUUAAUCGGAAUUACUGGGCGUAAAGCGCGCGUAGGUGGUUUGUUAAGUUGGAUGUGAAAUCCCCGGGCUCAACCUGGGAACUGCAUUCAAAACUGACUGACUAGAGUAUGGUAGAGGGUGGUGGAAUUUCCUGUGUAGCGGUGAAAUGCGUAGAUAUAGGAAGGAACACCAGUGGCGAAGGCGACCACCUGGACUAAUACUGACACUGAGGUGCGAAAGCGGGGGGAGCAAACAGGAUUAGAUACCCUGGUAGUCCACGCCGUAAACGAUGUCAACUAGCCGUUGGAAGCCUUGAGCUUUUAGUGGCGCAGCUAACGCAUUAAGUUGACCGCCUGGGGAGUACGGCCGCAAGGUUAAAACUCAAAUGAAUUGACGGGGGCCCGCACAAGCGGUGGAGCAUGUGGUUUAAUUCGAAGCAACGCGAAGAACCUUACCAGGCCUUGACAUCCAAUGAACUUUCUAGAGAUAGAUUGGUGCCUUCGGGAACAUUGAGACAGGUGCUGCAUGGCUGUCGUCAGCUCGUGUCGUGAGAUGUUGGGUUAAGUCCCGUAACGAGCGCAACCCUUGUCCUUAGUUACCAGCACGUCAUGGUGGGCACUCUAAGGAGACUGCCGGUGACAAACCGGAGGAAGGUGGGGAUGACGUCAAGUCAUCAUGGCCCUUACGGCCUGGGCUACACACGUGCUACAAUGGUCGGUACAGAGGGUUGCCAAGCCGCGAGGUGGAGCUAAUCCCACAAAACCGAUCGUAGUCCGGAUCGCAGUCUGCAACUCGACUGCGUGAAGUCGGAAUCGCUAGUAAUCGCGAAUCAGAAUGUCGCGGUGAAUACGUUCCCGGGCCUUGCACUAACCGCCCGUC